UCCAAAACUCCGGAAGGGUUUCUGAGGCUCAGAGGCAACCAAUCUACUGAAAAUUUAUUCCGAAGAAAAAAAGUACAAAGAGUGUGGAUAGGAGUUUUAAAUCUUCAGAAAGGAGAGCACAACGCAAUAUCCCGAGAAUUUCUUCAUGCCGAACAUGCCGAUCCGAGGCCAGUAUCGAAAUUCAGCGUCAGAAGAGACAAUUGUUUUGUUCGGAGUCUGAAGUUAGACUUUUUUAUAAUAGCUACACUUUGAUGUGAUCGCUAAGGA